GAGCCAAGGAGUGAAUCAAAAAGUAAGGGGAGGAAACUAAUAACACAGUUUUAAUGAAGUUCAAUAUCUUAUCAUGGAAUGUGAGGGGGCUUAACAGGGAGGCCAAGGAGCAGAUAUUAUAGUGUUGGUAGAGACAAAAUUAAAGGGGGCAGUGGGAGAUCAUAUUCAACAGUUAGGGGGUAAUAGAUGGAUGAGGGGGAUUUGGAUGGAGGUAUUAGGUAGUAAAGAGGGUAUAAUUAUCAAGUGGGAUAAAAGAUCUUAGAAGAGGGAUAUGGUGGAGAGUGGCAACCGGAUGAUCACUUGAAAAUUGACCAGCAUUAAUGUAGAUGUUACUUGGUUUCUAACAGCACAAUAUGCUUC
rnacentral:lncRNA from 1 species